GCCCUUACUCCUACGGGAGGCAGCAGUGAGGAAUAUUGGUCAAUGGGCGGAAGCCUGAACCAGCCAAGUAGCGUGCAGGACGACUGCCCUAUGGGUUGUAAACUGCUUUUAUGCGGGGAUAAAUGACACUACGUGUAGUGUUUUGCAGGUACCGCAUGAAUAAGGACCGGCUAAUUCCGUGCCAGCAGCCGCGGUAAUACGGAAGGUCCAGGCGUUAUCCGGAUUUAUUGGGUUUAAAGGGAGCGUAGGCCGCCUGGUAAGCGUGUUGUGAAAAAUACCGGCUCAACCGGUAUCCUGCAGCGCGAACUGCCUGGCUUGAGUGUGCGCAACGUUGGCGGAAUUCGUCGUGUAGCGGUGAAAUGCUUAGAUAUGACGAAGAACUCCGAUUGCGAAGGCAGCUGACGGGAGCACAACUGACGCUGAAGCUCGAAAGUGCGGGUAUCGAACAGGAUUAGAUACCCUGGUAGUCCGCACGGUAAACGAUGGAUGCCCGCUGUUUGUCCUGAUGGACAAGCGGCCAAGCGAAAGCGUUAAGCAUCCCACCUGGGGAGUACGCCGGCAACGGUGAAACUCAAAGGAAUUGACGGGGGCCCGCACAAGCGGAGGAACAUGUGGUUUAAUUCGAUGAUACGCGAGGAACCUUACCCGGGCUUGAAUUGCAGAGGAAGGAUUUGGAGACAAUGACGCCCUUCGGGGUCUCUGUGAAGGUGCUGCAUGGUUGUCGUCAGCUCGUGCCGUGAGGUGUCGGCUUAAGUGCCAUAACGAGCGCAACCCCUCUCUUCAGUUGCCAUCAGGUAGAGCUGGGCACUCUGGAGACACUGCCACCGUAAGGUGUGAGGAAGGUGGGGAUGACGUCAAAUCAGCACGGGCCCUUACGUCCGGGGCUACACACGUGUUACAAUGGGGGGUACAGAAAGUCGGUUUUAC
rnacentral:rRNA from 1 species